GGGGACGCGGAGCGCAGGUGAGCGCACUUUGGGGGGGAGCUGUGCGCAUGCGCGGCGCCUCGGCGGGGUUCAGUCAGCUGAGCUGGGCGAGUUGCGGCUUCGCUCCGGUCUACGCCUCCUUCCCUCGGGUACCUCCGUGGCUCUGCUGAAGACGGGAGGGAUGGAAGUAACGCUUCGCUGAGCGGCUGGAAGGGGCUGGGCGGGUCUCUGAGGGCCGCCCCUCAGGUAAAGCUUCAUGGAGAGAAAACACACCGGACCGAGGAUCCUGUCAUUCUGCUAGACCAAAGCCCGGUUUCCUCUUGUUCCACACCUUCUCUUGCUUUAAAACGUUAAUAACCACUUAA